rnacentral:rRNA from 1 species
UACGUAGGGUGCGAGCGUUAAUCGGAAUUACUGGGCGUAAAGCGUGCGCAGGCGGUCUGUUAAGACCGAUGUGAAAUCCCCGGGCUUAACCUGGGAACUGCAUUGGUGACUGGCAGGCUUUGAGUGUGGCAGAGGGAGGUAGAAUUCCACGUGUAGCAGUGAAAUGCGUAGAGAUGUGGAGGAAUACCGGUGGCGAAGGCGGCAUCCCGGACCGGCAUUGACGCUGAUGAGCGAAAGCUAGGGGAGCAAACGGG